rnacentral:misc_RNA from 1 species
AAACGAUGAUUACUCACGAUGAGUGUCCACACAGAUUGAUAGUUCACAAGCGCAAGCUUGUAGCUAACAUAGCUCUUUAACAAUUUGGAAAGCUGACAAAACAACAAUUUAUUGUUGUUUGUAAAGUUCUCAAUGUUUGUCUUUAUGACAAACACCAAAAUAACACAUUCAAGUGUUCUUGGAAUUUGAGUCCGGCAAAAUCGAGUCUGCAUCAUGUAUAAAAAUUGCAGACAACUUUGGUGACUUGUUCAUCAACUCGAAACUCCUUCGGGUUGUAU